CGGUGGGGGGGGGGGUCCUCCGCAUCGCGUGUGGAGCUCCGCGCGUGCCGUCUCGGGCGCUUCGUCAUCGUCGUCGUCAUCGUCUUCGUCGUCAUCGUCGAUGGGGCGCGCGAGCGCUGCGAGUGUGAGGGCGGCGUUUCGGUUGGCCCCCAGCUCGGAGCGGCGGUGGGGCCGGGCACCUGUUUCGGAUUUCGUGGAUCGCCUAAUUAUUGCGCGGCUCUCUCAACCUGAACCAACAACGACGCCGCCGCCGCAAUUUGGUUGCCGGGACCGAGUUGAUGGCGUGAGCUGUAACAAUAAAGCGUCGCUGGCGAUUACUGAAAGGUGCGUGACGUCAUUUAUGGACGGCCCCUUAGGCGAAGCAGAGAAAGCUGCUGAAGACGGUCCCGCAUGUCGUGGACUUGUUUGCGGCCUGCUGCUCCACAGGGAGCGAAGAGGAGCAAGGGAGUAACCCAAACAAAGCGGCGUUGUGGACGAGGACGACCACGCACUGCGAUGGCCCUGUGUGUACCCCCUCCCCACUACACACCAACUCGACUACUGGCGUGUGGCGGGUGGCCCGCACCGUGAUGAAGAACAUGGUGAAGAAGUAGACCAUGGCCUCGAUGUGGAAGCGGCGCUUGGCGGCGAUGCUGACGGUGGGCAGGAAUGCGAGGCCGCUGAUCGUGGGCAGAAACAUCUU